CUCGAUCCAGUAACAACGUUGCUAAAGCCAAAUCUACUUAUCAACUCAUCGCAGCGCAAGUCUGGCGACUUGUUAUCUAGAUAAAGACAAAAGACAACAAUUUGAAGGAUCUUCAGAACCCCUUAUCAACUCAUCGCAGAGUAAGACACUGGAGACUUGUUGCCUAUAUAAAGAAAAAAAGACAGCAAAUUAAAGGAU